rnacentral:rRNA from 1 species
GCAUAUCAAUAAGCGGAGGAAAAGAAACCAACAGGGAUUGCCCUAGUAACGGCGAGUGAAGCGGCAACAGCUCAAAUUUGAAAUCUGGCUCUUUUAGAGUCCGAGUUGUAAUUUGCAGAGGGCGCUUUGGCGUUGGCAGCGGUCUAAGUUCUUUGGAACAGGACGUCACAGAGGGUGAGAAUCCCGUACGUGGUCGCUAGCCUUCGCCGUGUAAAGCCCCUUCGACGAGUCGAGUUGUUUGGGAAUGCAGCUCUAAAUGGGAGGUAAAUUUCUUCUAAAGCUAAAUACUGGCCAGAGACCGAUAGCGCACAAGUAGAGUGAUCGAAAGAUGAAAAGCACUUUGGAAAGAGAGUCAAACAGCACGUGAAAUUGUUGAAAGGGAAGCGCUUGCAGCCAGACUUGCCUGUAGUUGCUUAUCCGGACUUUUGUCCGGUGCACUCUUCUGCGGGCAGGCCAGCAUCAGUUUGGGCGGUUGGAUAAAGGUCUCUGUCAUGUACCUCUCUUCGGGGAGGCCUUAUAGGGGAGACGACAUGCAACCAGCCUGGACUGAGGUCCGCGCAUCUGCUAGGAUGCUGGCGUAAUGGCUGUAAGCGGCCCGUCUUGAAACACGGACCAAGGAGUCUAACAUCUAUGCGAGUGUUUGGGUGUCAAGCCCAGACGCGUAAUGAAAGUGAACGGAGGUGGGAACCCUUUGGGUGCACCAUCGACCGAUCCUGAUGUCUUCGGAUGGAUUUGAGUAAGAGCAUGGCUGUUGGGACCCGAAAGAUGGUGAACUAUGCUUGAAUAGGGUGAAGCCAGAGGAAACUCUGGUGGAGGCUCGCAGCGGUUCUGACGUGCAAAUCGAUCGUCAAAUUUGGGCAUAGGGGCGAAAGACUAAUCGAACUAUCUAGUAGCUG